CUCCUCCCACGCUGAUGCCUGGUUAGGUCAAGGGUCUUCCUCUGUCCAUGGAACUUCAGCAAACAUGGAACAGAUGGAGAUUCGAAAAUCACUUGUGCACUGAGGUUCUAUUGCCAAUAGGAACUCUUCUGUCACGCAGACAAAUUUGGGCUGCUCUCCUGGAGGAUGAGAUACUAUGCAAAGCAGACAUUGUAGCCAUUCCAACCAUCACACCUAACACCUCAGACAUGAGGAAAAGGCAAAGGACUGGAGUCAUGCAUCAUGACACCCCAACAUAUUAGAAAGAAUAAAUGACUUCUGGACUCCCAGGCAAGUUGGGAGAAAUAAAGCAAGGUAGAGGUCAGAAGGGAAGGUGUUCUGAGAAGGAAAACAGGGAUGAAAAUGAGUGCUAUAGUGUGAAUGAGGGAGAGGUCACAGCCGGGGGAGAUAGAGGUGGGAUAAAAGCAGUGCCUUUGGAGCUAUGUAUAGAUAACGGGGGUAAGAGGCCACCCUAAAAGGUGAAGCUGAAAUGUCUACAGAAGAAGCAGAACACCAGA
rnacentral:lncRNA from 1 species